AUACUCUGGUUUCUCUUCAGAUCGUAUAAAUCUUUCGCCUUUUACUAAAGAUUUCCGUGGAGAGGAACAAGCACGAGUGUCGUGGAAUUUUCUGAGGCUCUGCUUCGGCAGAAA
ensembl:snRNA U5 U5 spliceosomal RNA